rnacentral:rRNA from 1 species
GAUGAACGCUGGCGGCGUGCCUAAUACAUGCAAGUCGAGCGAACAGACGAGGAGCUUGCUCCUUUGACGUUAGCGGCGGACGGGUGAGUAACACGUGGGUAACCUACCUAUAAGACUGGGAUAACUUCGGGAAACCGGAGCUAAUACCGGAUAAUAUUUCGUACCGCAUGGUUCGAUAGUGAAAGAUGGCUCUGCUAUCACUUAUAGAUGGACCUGCGCCGUAUUAGCUAGUUGGUAAGGUAACGGCUUACCAAGGCAACGAUACGUAGCCGACCUGAGAGGGUGAUCGGCCACACUGGAACUGAGACACGGUCCAGACUCCUACGGGAGGCAGCAGUAGGGAAUCUUCCGCAAUGGGCGAAAGCCUGACGGAGCAACGCCGCGUGAGUGAUGAAGGUCUUCGGAUCGUAAAACUCUGUUAUUAGGGAAGAACAAACGUGUAAGUAACUGUGCACGUCUUGACGGUACCUAAUCAGAAAGCCACGGCUAACUACGUG